rnacentral:rRNA from 1 species
UGGGGAAUUUUGCACAAUGGGGGAAACCCUGAUGCAGCGACGCCGCGUGAUUUAGAAGGCCUUCGGGUUGUAAAAAUCUUUUUUACGGGAUGAAAAUGACAGUACCGUAAGAAUAAGGUCCGGCUAAAUACGUGCCAGCAGCCGCGGUAAUACGUAUGGACCGAGCGUUGUACGGAAUCAUUGGGCGUAAAGGGUACGUAGGCGGCCUAGUAAGUUAGAAGUGAAAUAAUAUAGCUCAACUAUAUAAAGCUUUUAAAACGGCUAGGCUUGAGAGAUGGAAGGGAAAGUGGAAUUCCUAGUGUAGCGGUGAAAUGCGCAGAUAUUAGGAAGAAUACCGGUGGCGAAGGCGACUUUCUGGUCAUCAUCUGACGCUGAGGUACGAAAGCGUGGGUAGCAAACAGG